AUGAUGGAAAGAGCUCUCCCAACAAGUAACAGUCUUGAAACUUGGAGAAGGCAAGGGUUCAUAUUGUUCCUCAUCUUAAAAAAGAAUGAAUUAAAAAAGAUGACCUUUAAUGGUGCUUCUAAUUCUAGAAAUAUAGUAUUCUAUGGGUUUCAUUAUCUAGAAUCAAGUAGAAAAAGUUUCUAAGUCAAGCACAAAUAUUUCAAAUAAUUAGCAUUAUAUUGCAAAAAAGAACCCUCAGGGUAGGAAGUGAUCCUAAGAAGCAUGCUAGGAGUCCAAAAAAAGGUCUUCUAGAGUCUUCUUUCUUUAUACAAAACGUGUUCUAAGCAGCCCCUCACUGCAACUACUCAGCUUAAGGGCAAUGUUCCACAAUAUUUGUAGAAUAUUCUCUUCUUUAUGGCAGAAUCUGAAUUUCUCCUUUUACUAUAUCUUUUCUAGACUCAUCAAUGAUAUUCUUUGUCUUCUCUCCACCCAUAGGCAAGAUGAAACAUUGAAUAGACCAUGAGCACAGGAUUGGAGACGUCAGCCAUUGCUUCACUCUUCAUCUGGUUUUGGAGGUUCUCCACAGUAAAGAUAAGAGAACCUGAAGCCCCGGGAAGAAAGCUGAUUUGCCCAAGGUUACUCAGGCAGAAAAGGAGGAGGGGCAAAAAUAGAAAGAUGAGGAAAAGUAUGGGGAAGAGGAAGAAAGACAGAGAAGAAGUAGAGGAAGAAGAAAGAGGAGAGAAAGAAGAGAAGGAAUUACUUUUUAUUUACUUUACAAAUAUAUCAUAUUUAUUUUGAUAUAUAUUAUUUUCCCUCCACUGAAGUUUAAGUUCCUUCAGGACAUGGAUUGCUGAUUUUUUUUUCUUUGAAUUCCCAAUGGCUAGAAGAGGUGUCCACCUAUGGAUGAUAGGAUUAUAGGCACAGAGCUGAAAGUGAAUGAAAGAGAUCAUCCAGCCUAAUUCCCUCAAGAACCCAAGAUCCAGAGAGGUUAAGGAGCUGUCUGAGGUCCUACAGCUACUAAAUGUCAAAGGUACUAUUUGAAUUCAGGCCUUCUCCACUCCUACUAUAAUUCCACCAUUUGUUGAAUAAAAAUCUUAGGGGAAAACAAAAGGCCAUUGACUAUGAAGUGAAUGAUAAAUCAUGGCAUCCUAGGUAAGUUGCCUUUGGGAAAAGUCCUACACUACAUUAAAGACAAAGAGAUUUAUCAGCCCAAAUCCAAAGGUUAGAAUGCUGAUAAGGAGAGAUUUUGAGUAUUCAUUCAGGGAAUCAACAUUUACUGAACCUAGACUGGGACCAGAAUUGCAGGGCUGUUCCACAAGGUAGCAGAAGCACCAUAAAGGUUAAAACCAAGGGAUUGUUGAGAUCCCUGGAGAUAGUGUUACAUCCUUAAUGCUUUAGAAUAUGUGAGUAUAAUACUUUAUAAUAGAAUGUGGUUUCCAUAUUGGAAGAGCUCUUUCCACCUACAUAGAGAGUUGGUCUUCAUGAGUUAAGUGUGGCCAACAAAAAAUUUUUCUACCAGUGUUCAAGCUUCUGUUGAUAGACUUUUCUGAACUCUGCUAGGUUGUUCCUUAAAAGGUAAAUUCACAGUCCAUUAUUGGACAACAUAUAAAAACACAAAACAAACCCAAUUUCUCUAGCUAGUAUGAAAGUGAGUUUUUCCUCUCUCAGUUUUCAAGAGCCCAACAUCAAGGAGCAUCUAGGUGGCAUAUUAGGGUGCCAAGCCAAGAGUUGAAAAGACCUGGGUUCAAAUCUAGACACUUUCUAGCUAUAUGACCCUGGACAAAUCAUUUAGCCCUGUUUGCUGAACCCUUUGCCCUUCUGUCUAACAGUUGUUACUAGGACAGAAGGUAAGGGUUUUAAAAAAAUAAGUCUCUCAUCUACUGGAAAAAAAAAACCCAACAACUUAAGUACAUGUAUUGCAAAGAUUGACAUAUUGGGACAGCUAGAUAGAUCAGUGGAUGGAGAGCCCAAAGACAAGACGUCCUAGGUUAAAAUGUAGCUUCAGUCACUUACUACCUAUGUGACUCUAAACAGGUUACUUAAACCCAAUUGCCUAACCUUUACUACUCUUUCUGCCUUGGAACCAAGACUUAGUAUUCAUUCUAAGAUGGAAGAGAAGGGUUAAAAAAAGUAUCCAAAACCAACUUCAUUUCUUGAUGAGGCAUCAGUGUGAGCCUCUUUAUCCUUAAAGUUUCAUGUCUAUUAAAAAAGAAAUACUAUUCAUAAUUCAGAGUUGAAAUCGUGGUCACCAAAGAUUUGCUUUACUUUCCACCAGCAAAUACAAAGGAAACUGCCUUUUGACCCCACAGAAUUAAAGAAAUAAACCUGUUGUCAAUAACUUUGCCAUCAACCACAUUAGUGUAUAGAGCUCUAUAGUCAUAAAAGUAACACUAAUUUGUUACCAUUCUGCUUGAAAAUCAAAGAAUAAUUUUCUCAUUAAAUACAUUAAUAUUCAGAUAAGAGGUUCUUAACCUUUUUAAUACCGUAGAUCUCUUUGGCAGUCUGGUGAAGUCUACUAAUCUCUUCUCAGGAUAAUGUUUUUAAGAAUCAUAAUUGAAGAAAAAGCAAAUUUUCUUUUAGA